GAGGAAUAUUGGUCAAUGGGCGCAGGCCUGAACCAGCCAAGUAGCGUGAAGGAUGACUGCCCUAUGGGUUGUAAACUUCUUUUAUAUGGGAAUAAAGUUUUCCACGUGUGGAAUUUUGUAUGUACCAUAUGAAUAAGGAUCGGCUAACUCCGUGCCAGCAGCCGCGGUAAUACGGAGGAUCCGAGCGUUAUCCGGAUUUAUUGGGUUUAAAGGGAGCGUAGGUGGACAGUUAAGUCAGUUGUGAAAGUUUGCGGCUCAACCGUAAAAUUGCAGUUGAUACUGGCUGUCUUGAGUACAGUAGAGGUGGGCGGAAUUCGUGGUGUAGCGGUGAAAUGCUUAGAUAUCACGAAGAACUCCGAUUGCGAAGGCAGCUCACUGGACUGCAACUGACACUGAUGCUCGAAAGUGUGGGUAUCAAACAGGAUUAGAUACCCUGGUAGUCCACACAGUAAACGAUGAAUACUCGCUGUUUGCGAUAUACAGUAAGCGGCCAAGCGAAAGCAUUAAGUAUUCCACCUGGGGAGUACGCCGGCAACGGUGAAACUCAAAGGAAUUGACGGGGGCCCGCACAAGCGGAGGAACAUGUGGUUUAAUUCGAUGAUACGCGAGGAACCUUACCCGGGCUUAAAUUGCAUUUGAAUAUAUUGGAAACAGUAUAGCCGUAAGGCAAAUGUGAAGGUGCUGCAUGGUUGUCGUCAGCUCGUGCCGUGAGGUGUCGGCUUAAGUGCCAUAACGAGCGCAACCCUUAUCUUUAGUUACUAACAGGUCAUGCUGAGGACUCUAGAGAGACUGCCGUCGUAAGAUGUGAGGAAGGUGGGGAUGACGUCAAAUCAGCACGGCCCUUACGUCCGGGGCUACACACGUGUUACAAUGGGGGGUACAGAAGGCAGCUACCUGGUGACAGGAUGCUAAUCCCAAAAGCCUCUCUCAGUUCGGAUCGAAGUCUGCAACCCGACUUCGUGAAGCUGGAUUCGCUAGUAAUCGCGCAUCAGCCAUGGCGCGGUGAAUACGUUCCCG
rnacentral:rRNA from 1 species